GCACGAUGUGAUCCACCAGCUAGGAGGGAUGCCAAUAAGGCGUCCGAUAAGCAUGACUGGAGAAUCCUGGGAUUUCAAUGUCUUUCUAUCCUCAAUGUGGCUGGAAAAUGAAUCCUCCUAUCCUCAAUGUGACUGGAGAAUGAGUGCCUGAUCCUGACUACUGAAGACCCUGCUCCUGUCUUUUAUACCUCUCUAGUGCUGAGAUUAAAGACCUGUGAUCCCAGGUCCUGAGAUCGUC